UACGUAGGGGGCUAGCGUUGUCCGGAAUCAUUGGGCGUAAAGCGCGUGUAGGCGGUCCGGUAAGUCCGCUGUGAAAGUCGGGGGCUCAACCCUCGAAUGCCGGUGGAUACUGUCGGGCUAGAGUGCGGAAGAGGCGAGUGGAAUUCCCGGUGUAGCGGUGAAAUGCGCAGAUAUCGGGAGGAACACCAAUGGCGAAGGCAGCUCGCUGGGACGGUACUGACGCUGAGACGCGAAAGCGUGGGGAGCGAACAGG
rnacentral:rRNA from 1 species